AGUAGAUGCAAAUAUGAAAAUAAAAGGCAAUGUGGUGUGAUGAAAUGAGCAGUGGUCUUGGAGAUGUGGCUUCUAAUUCCGUGUGAUCUUGGACAUAUCACUCAGUCAAUCUGAACUCCAUUCCAUAUCUGGAGACUGACAGGGAUUUUGCCAUUCUCUAGGGGACCUACAAGAAUGUUCAAUGAACUCUGAGGGGGAAGAAUUUCUUCUUGGGAACUGCCCCCAGAGAGCCUUGUUUGGAGAGAAUAUGGCCCUGGAGCAGAUCCUGAGCACAUUGCAUUUCUUCUCUGGACCAAAUCUGAGGAGACAUGGUCUUAGCCAAGGAUAAGUGAAUGGCUCUUCCACCUGGAACUUCAUCAGAGCAUCAGUGCCUCUCUUGAAUCUACUUAGACUGCUCUUUGCCAGUUCGGCCCUGCCACAGGUGAGGCGGCUGAAGCUUUGAGCAGUCCUGCCUCACCACUCCAUGGCAAAGCUGGGACUGAAGCCAGGUUUUCCAGCUGGUGUGUUCCAAUCCAACC